rnacentral:rRNA from 1 species
GACGAACGCUGGCGGCGUGCCUAACACAUGCAAGUCGAACGAAGAAUGUUUUUCGGAAUAUUCUUAGUGGCGGACGGGUGAGUAACGCGUGAACAAUCUGCCCCGUACAAAGGGAUAGCCUCGGGAAACCGGGAUUAAAACCAUAUAACACUUAACUGCCGCAUGGUAGUGAAGUCAAAUCGAUUAAGAGGUAUGGGAUGAGUUCGCGUCUGAUUAGCUAGUUGGUGAGGUAAGGGCUCACCAAGGCGACGAUCAGUAGCCGGCCUGAGAGGGUGAACGGCCACACUGGAACUGAGACACGGUCCAGACUCCUACGGGAGGCAGCAGUGGGGAAUAUUGCACAAUGGAGGGAACUCUGAUGCAGCGACGCCGCGUGAGUGAAGAAGGUCUUCGGAUCGUAAAGCUCUGUCUUCCGGGACGAUAAUGACGGUACCGGAGGAGGAAGCCACGGCUAACUACGUGCCAGCAGCCGCGGUAAGAUCACGUGUA